rnacentral:rRNA from 1 species
AAGGUGCUGCAUGGUUGUCGUCAGCUCGUGCCGUGAGGUGUCGGGUUAAGUCCCAUAACGAGCGCAACCCCUAUCAUUAGUUGCCAUCAGGUCAAGCUGGGGACUCUAAUGAAACUGCCUACGCAAGUAGUGAGGAAGGUGGGGAUGACGUCAAAUCAGCACGGCCCUUACGUCCAGGGCUACACACGUGCUACAAUGGCCGGUACAACGGGCAGCGAAGGAGCGAUCCGGAGCGAAUCCUAAAAAGCCGGUCCCAGUUCGGAUUGCAGGCUGAAACUCGCCUACAUGAAGUUGGAGUUGCUAGUAAUCGCGAAUCAGAAUGUCGCGGUGAAUGCGUUCCCGGGUCUU